AUGUUUUACACGUAGACCUAUAAUAUGAAAUGGAUUAAUAACAGCUGAGAGCAUUGCGGUUUUUUGGCUUUUUGCCGACGAUGUCAAAAUAUGAAGCUCUAGCUGAAGUUCAAAAUGAACUCGACAGCUUAGCUGUGUGGCUGGAUAAUCAUGGACUUUCACUAAAUGUAAACAAGUGUCAAGUAAUGUCCUUUACAAGGCGUAAGUCUCCUAUUCUUUUUGACUACUCUCUAAAAGACCACUCACUAUCGAGAGUAACCAUUAAGAAAUAUCUGGGUGUCCUUACCUCUAAUUUAGAUCACCAUCCCUAUAUUAAGCAUGUCACCUGUAUAUGUCUAAAAACACUAGGGCUUAUCAAAAGCGUCUUUUUAGACCGAUAGUUGAAUAUGGCUCAAUUCUUUGGGAUUCUUAUACAUCCUCUCUCUCAUAUCAACUUGAACAUGUUCAGCGUAAGUUUCUUAAUUUCGCUUCUUCUUGUCUUAACAUAGAACAUGAAUCACAUGACUAUUCCCCUAUCCUGCAUCACUUAAAGCUUAGUAGUCUAUCCGAUAGAAGAAUGUUAGUCAUCUUUAAUUUCCUAAUAAAACUCGUAAAUGGUUCCAUUGAAACACUUGAACUUCUUGCAGAGGUUAAUUUUAGGAAUCCUGGUAGGUUUCCAGAUUAUUUGUUCCCUACUACGAUCCUCUACACCACACUAACUAUAGCCGCAAACAUCCCAUUCACCGUAUAGUAAAUGAGAACUUCUCUAGCCAAUAAUACCUUUAUACUGUUGUGUUUUAAUGUAAUUUUAAACUUUUUCUUGUGCAGUAAGUGUGUACCUUGAGCAUGUACCCGUGAUGUAAAUAAACUAAAAUAAAAAUAAAACGGUUCUUUUUUGGUCAAUGUAGUAUUUUCAAUAAAAUUAUAUAAAUCUCAUAUCAUCCAUGUCCAGAAGAAUAAGGAACUGUAACUAACGUUUUUAGAUGUUCCCGUACUUCGCAUUUUUGAUAACAAUAUCUUAUGAUAAGGUACCAUCC